UACGUAGGGUGCGAGCGUUAAUCGGAAUUACUGGGCGUAAAGGGUGCGCAGGCGGUUAUAUAAGACAGAUGUGAAAUCCCCGGGCUCAACCUGGGAACUGCGUUUGUGACUGUAUGACUAGAGUACGGUAGAGAGGGGUGGAAUUCCUGGUGUAGCAGUGAAAUGCGUAGAUAUCAGGAGGAACAUCGAUGGCGAAGGCAGCCCCUUGGACCUGUACUGACGCUCAUGCACGAAAAGCGUGGGGGAGCAAAACAGG
rnacentral:rRNA from 1 species